rnacentral:rRNA from 1 species
GGAUGAACGCUAGCGGCAGGCUUAAUACAUGCAAGUCGAGGGGCAGCAUGGUGUAGCAAUACACUGAUGGCGACCGGCAAACGGGUGCGGAACACGUACAGAACCUUCCUUCAAGCGGGGAAUAGCCCAGAGAAAUUUGGAUUAAUACCCCAUAGCAUAAUGGAGUGGCAUCACUUUGUUAUUAAAGAUUUAUCACUUGAAGAUGGCUGUGCGGCUGAUUAGGUAGUUGGCGGGGUAACGGCCCACCAAGCCUGCGAUCAGUAACUGGUGUGAGAGCACGACCAGUCACACGGGCACUGAGACACGGGCCCGACUCCUACGGGAGGCAGCAGUAAGGAAUAUUGGUCAAUGGACGAAAGUCUGAACCAGCCAUGCCGCGUGGAGGAUGAAGGUCCUCUGGAUUGUAAACUUCUUUUAUCUGGGACGAAAAAAGGUCUUUCUAGAUCGUCUGACGGUACCAGAUGAAUAAGCACCGGCUAACUCCGUGCCAGCAGCCGCGGUAAUACGGAGGGUGCAAGCGUUAUCCGGAUUCACUGGGUUUAAAGGGUGCGUAGGUGGGUUGGUAAGUCAGUGGUGAAAUCUUCGAGCUUAACUCGGAAACUGCCAUUGAUACUAUCAGUCUUGAAUAUUGUGGAGGUUAGCGGAAUGUGUCAUGUAGCGGUGAAAUGCUUAGAUAUGACAUAGAACACCAAUUGCGAAGGCAGCUGGCUACACAUAUAUUGACACUGAGGCACGAAAGCGUGGGGAUCAAACAGGAUUAGAUACCCUGGUAGUCCACGCCCUAAACUAUGGAUACUCGACAUACGCGAUACACUGUGUGUGUCUGAGCGAAAGCAUUAAGUAUCCCACCUGGGAAGUACGAUCGCAAGAUUGAAACUCAAAGGAAUUGACGGGACCCGCACAAGCG